AUGAGUAAACACUUUUGUGUUUUAGAGUGUGUUUAAUAAUAAUCAGAGUUGAUUAGAGUAAAGAUUAGAGAGAAUAGAGAGAUUCUAGAGAGAGAGAGACUCAAAACUCUAUUGAUUGAUUUAAUGAUUCAGAUACAAGAUAUAUAUGAAGAGAUAAGGCUGAUAAAGUGUUUUUCGAAAUCCAUAAGCAUGUGGAGUCAAUGGACAGGCUGGAACUCCUUUUGAAAUGCUUGGCUGUGUUUCCUCACAUGCUUGCUAUAGUAAUAAAGCAUUUUCCCCUUUCCAGCUCAAGACAGCCUGUCCAUGUGCUCCUUAUCCUCUCCAAAUACCCUUGGUCGUUUUUACUCUCCAAAUGGAUGUAAGGUAACUUCCCAAGCUCUAACUUAGUUACCUUUAUCCAGAAAUGGUGAAACUCCAAAGUUACUGUGGUAAAAACUCCAAAGUUACUGUCUCACUUCAUUCAUCCCCAAAGCUUCAUCUCUUCACUUCUUGGUCUUCAUCUCAACACUCCCCCUCAAGCUUGACCAUGUAGAACAAGUCAAGCUUGGGAACCAUGAAGACCUCCCUCAUUAAAAACCUCACCAAAGAAAACCCAAUGGGAUAAAACCUUG
rnacentral:lncRNA from 1 species